AGCGAACGCUGGCGGCAGGCUUAACACAUGCAAGUCGAACGCCCGUAGCAAUACGGGAGUGGCAGACGGGAGAGUAACACGUGGGAACGUGCCCUUCAGUUCGGAACAACCAAGGGAAGCUUUGGCUAAUACCGGAUACGUCCGUAAGGAGAAAGAUUUAUCGCUGAAGGAUCGGCCCGCGUCUGAUUAGCUAGUUGGUGAGGUAACGGCUCACCAAGGCGACGAUCAGUAGCUGGUCUGAGAGGAUAAUCAGCCUCACUGGGACUGAGACACGGCCCAGACUCCUACGGGAGGCAGCAGUGGGGAAUCUUGGACAAUGGGCGCAAGCCUGAUCCAGCCAUGCCGCGUGGGUGAUGAAGGCCCUAGGGUUGUAAAGCCCUUUCGGCGGGGAAGAUAAUGACGGUACCCGCAGAAGAAGCCCCGGCUAACUUCGUGCCAGCAGCCGCAGUAAGAC
rnacentral:rRNA from 1 species